UCGGUAUCUUGACUACAUUCCAAGAGCUGUCCAAGAAAAUUUUGGGCAACUACUUGAUGAGUAAGUUGGCACGGGACUGAAAACUAAGUUGUGCGUUGACUUUGAAUUGAACCAGGUUAUUGACCGAAAUGUGGGAGAUCUUUUGGAUGAUCUAAAGGUUGGGCGCUGAUGGCCAUGGUCAACCACUAGGUCUCCAAGAUGGACGACAUCAUCAUGAUGUAGAGCAUUUAGGUAAUUGGCGAGCCGAGCCUUCCUUGGCUGACAGUGCAGGGCUGUACAUGGAGCAAGCCCGGUUGUGGCGCUCGUGAAGGGGGGACGUGGAUUCGGCCCUGGUGCAGCAGCA